rnacentral:rRNA from 1 species
GCAGUCGCCGCGGUAAUACGUAGGGUGCAAGCGUUAAUCGGAAUUACUGGGCGUAAAGCGUGCGCAGGCGGUUAUAUAAGACAGAUGUGAAAUCCCCGGGCUCAACCUGGGAACUGCAUUUGUGACUGUAUAGCUAGAGUACGGCAGAGGGGGAUGGAAUUCCGCGUGUAGCAGUGAAAUGCGUAGAUAUGCGGAGGAACACCGAUGGCGAAGGCAAUCCCCUGGGCCUGUACUGACGCUCAUGCACGAAAGCGUGGGGAGCAAACAGGAUUAGAUACCCCUGUAGUCCCUGUCUCUUAUAA